CGCCACUGUUUUACUAAUAAGAUUAAAAUUAGGCACAAUUUCUUUCAAUUCACACUCCUCUUCGCGCUCCCUAAAUCCUCCCCGCCAUUGCGUCGCCACUCCAGUCCGUCCCCGCUCCAUAUCCGCCGCCGCCGUCGUCUCCGCUCCAGAUCCGUCGCCGCCGUCGCCGCUCCAGAUCUGUCGCCACCGUCUCUGCUUCCUCCUCGCGCGCCAUAAAUCCUCCCGUCUUCGCGUCGCACCUCCAGUCCGUCGCCGCUCCAGAUCUGUUUCCGCCGUCUCCGCUUCAUCUACGCGCGCCAUAAAUCCUCCCCGUCGUUGCGUCGCCGCGCCAGGACUACAUCACCGCCGCCGCCUACGCUCAACGCAUGCCGGUUAUUGGUGCUACCGUGUCUCAAAAGGUGGUGGCAUGGCUGGGGCUAUUUAAAUGGAUGCUCAACAUGGUGAUCCUCUUGUUCCUGAUUUUAUGAACAGGUUAUUCCGUAGAUUUGGGAGCUGGUCUGAUGGAACAGGUUAUAUCAGAUUGUAUUUUUCUAUUGAUGCAUGUUGAUGCCUACUGUUUGUAAAAGGUAAGUUUAGUAAAUUUAAAUAAUCUGCCUAUUUGAAUUUGUUGUGGUGUUUUUGGUUAACAAGACUUGGCUUUUGUAUUAUCUUAAGGCAUUUGCUGUCAUUUUGAUCUUUCCAAAUUUAAUGAAUAGGUAGUUGUUGCUAAGUGAAAAGAGUGGUGCUUGAGGGCAUCUUCUUGAAGAAACAACAUCUGGUAUAAAGUUAAAAUUAAUGAUAUUAAGGUGUUAUUUUAGUUUCUUUUUUACGUCAUGUUUAAGGUUUACUUCAUCAAGUUUUAUUAUUUAGUUUAGAGUGCAUGCUAUAUAUAUUGUUUAGUUAGUGGUUAGGCUUGGGGUGGAGCCUUGCCGGCUCUGCCGACCUUAUGUGUUGAGAAGUGGGGUGAUGUUAUUGUGUUGAUUUUAUAUUAUGAUUUAAUGAUCUCUUAGCAUGCUAAAUUAUGUGUUUGAAAUAUUUUAGAUAGUUAGUAGAUUGCUUAGUAUGGCUAUCUAGUGACUAACUAUUAUCAUGAUUCGUGAAUUAUUAAUUAGGAUUUAUAACAAUGAGUGCAAAUCACGAGUGGAUGUAUAUGCGGCUUCUUUCCAACGGUGAAUUUAAUCCCGAUUCUUGAGUUGGUAGAGCUAAAAAGGCAAAUGAGAUAUCAUCGUAAGCAGACAUGAUGACAGUUUUUGAACAGCUCUAUGAAAUGAAUCCACCACAGUAUAAAUGGUUCAACAAUUGAUCCAAGGAUCUAUUACCACAUAUUCACCAUAAAAUGCUUUGAAGGUUAGAGCAGACGAAACAAUUGCAGUGCUGAAAAAUGUAAGAACAUAUGUUAGAAGAGGCAUGGAAUGAUCAAGAAAGAGCUUUGGAUCUGGCAAAGAAUGAAAAUGCUAAGUCCAAGUCUAAGACAGUGCAAAUAUAAGAGGUACACAAUCAAGGAGAUUGAGGUUGAGUUGCGGUCUGUCUACCAUAGUUCAGUUCCAUUUCUGAAGAGGAUUUAUGUUACCAAGCAUCUUCAACAUCAAGAGAUGAAUAGAAAAGUUUGAUCAAAGAUUUGGAAAGGAAAGAGACUGAGUUUAUGAGAUUGGGAAGGAACAAGAUAUGUGUAGAUGAUUAAUUUGCCUACAACAGCUCCACUAAACAUAAGACUUAGAAGGAACAUGAAUCGUUAUUUGUUAUCAACUAUUUUUUAGAAUUUGCACUAAUGCUCAAUAUUAUUAAAUUUUGGUCUUAUGAGUAAUUAACUAA